AUUGAACGCUGGCGGCAGGCCUAACACAUGCAAGUCGAACGGUAGCACAGAGAGGUUGCUCUCGGGUGACGAGUGGCGGACGGGUGAGUAAUGUCUGGGAAACUGCCUGAUGGAGGGGGAUAACUACUGGAGACGGUAGCUAAUACCGCAUAACGUCGCAAGACCAAAGAGGGGGACCUUCGGGCCUCUUGCCAUCAGAUGUGCCCAGAUGGGAUUAGCUAGUAGGUGGGGUAACGGCUCACCUAGGCGACGAUCCCUAGCUGGUCUGAGAGGAUGACCAGCCACACUGGAACUGAGACACGGUCCAGACUCCUACGGGAGGCAGCAGUGGGGAAUAUUGCACAAUGGGCGCAAGCCUGAUGCAGCCAUGCCGCGUGUAUGAAGAAGGCCUUCGGGUUGUAAAGUACUUUCAGCGGGGAGGAAGGUGUUGUGGUUAAUAACCACAGCAAUUGACGUUACCCGCAGAAGAAGCACCGGCUAACUCCGUGCCAGCCGCCGCAGUAAAAC
rnacentral:rRNA from 1 species